GGUUGCGAUCAUACCAGCACUAAUGCACCGGAUCCCAUCAGAACUCCGCAGUUAAGCGUUUUUGGGCGAGAGUAGUAUUAGGAUGGGUGACCCCUGGGAAGUCCUCGUGUUGCAACCC
rnacentral:rRNA from 1 species